rnacentral:rRNA from 1 species
AUACGGAGGAUCCGAGCGUUAUCCGGAUUUAUUGGGUUUAAAGGGAGCGUAGGCGGAUUAUUAAGUCAGUUGUGAAAGUUUGCGGCUCAACCGUAAAAUUGCAGUUGAUACUGGUAGUCUUGAGUGCAGCAGAGGUAGGCGGAAUUCGUGGGGUAGGGGUGAAAUGCUUAGAUAUCACGAAGAACUCCGAUUGCGAAGGCAGCUUACUGGACUGUAACUGACGCUGAUGCUCGAAAGUGUGGGUAUCAAACAGGAUUAGAUACCCUGGUAGUCCACACAGUAAACGAUGAAUACUCGCUGUUUGCGAUAUACAGCAAGCGGCCAAGCGAAAGCAUUAAGUAUUCCACCUGGGGGGUACGCCGGCAACGGUGAAACUCAAAUGAAUUGACGGGG